UCCAGUCCAAAUUAAUCAUAGAAGAUGAUGUAACCCACUGAGCUAGAAGGAGUAAGGGUGAGAUGUACUGAGUCACCAAUAACCCAGAAACAACAGUUUGGGAACAAUAUUUAAAAACUGACUACUCAAAGGCAUCAUUUACAGGAGAGAUAAGGGCUCCGAUUUAGACUGGCCUCCUUCAUAUUCUCUUUCUCUUUUUUCUUGCAGUCAGUAAAACACAAGGCUGUGUCUGGAAUGGGAAGAGUUCUUCUUGGUGGGAGCAGGAAAAAGGAGGCUGAUCAGAGGAAGCUGCUGAAAACCUAACCAGAAAUUGCAGUGAAGGCAGCAAUUUGGAAGGAGAGGGCUCGCCUGUUGCUGCCGAGGCAGGAGAUGACGUGGGACCUGCUCAGCCAGCGGUGAGCUGCAGCUGCAGAUGGGCAAGUAGAGAGCUGGCUCAAGUCUGCUCACUGGCUUGUCUGGUGCAUUGUGGUGCAUUCUGCAGACGCAGCAGCCUAAAUGGUAGGGUUACCAAUUAGCCCUGGUGGCAAAUUUUGACAAAUGCAAGACAGGAGCCAGCAGACAAAUUCGUCUCUUUCUCUCACUGAUAUACUACUGUUGUGAGAUGCCGUAGUUGAUACAGCCUCUCCGGAGAUGCCUCAUGGACUGGGCAAUCGACUGCACUCACUAUGAGACUGUGGCCAGCUCAUGAAUGCACCUCACUGCGGUUGCUCUGCUGUCUUCUCCACCUCAGUUCCUUUUGGGCCCUCAUUCCUGCUUCCCUGGGGCUGCA
rnacentral:lncRNA from 10 species